rfam:Salmo salar isolate Sally breed double haploid chromosome ssa01, whole genome shotgun sequence.
UACAAGCGUCUUGUAAGUCGCUCUGGAUAAGAGCGUCUGCUAAAUGACUAAAA